rnacentral:rRNA from 1 species
CGCUGAGUUUGAUCCUGGCUCAGGAUGAACGCUAGCGGCAGGCUUAACACAUGCAAGUCGAGGGGUAUAGUUCUUCGGAGCUAGAGACCGGCGCACGGGUGCGUAACGCGUAUGCAAUCUACCUUUUACAGAGGGAUAGCCCAGAGAAAUUUGGAUUAAUACCUCAUAGUAUUUUCGAAUCGUAUGAUUUGAUUAUUAAAGUUCCAACGGUAAAAGAUGAGCAUGCGUCCCAUUAGCUAGAUGGUAAGGUAACGGCUUACCAUGGCAACGAUGGGUAGGGGUCCUGAGAGGGAGAUCCCCCGACACUGGUACUGAGACACGGACCAGACUCCGUACGGGAGGCAGCAGUGAGGAAUAUUGGUCAAUGGGGCGCAAGCCUGAACCCAGCAAUGCCGCGUGCAGG